GCCAAACACGAGGGACCAAUUGCUGAGGCAUAUAUUGACAAAGAAUGCCUGACUUUUUGUUCGAUGUAUCUCAAAAGGGUUGAGACAGUGUUUAAUCGAGAUGAACGGAAUUACGAUGGCAGUCGAGGAAAUAAAGGUUUCACAUUGAUUGCAAUCUAGCUUCCCUUUUGGAUUCAGAUUUCUUUUGGGAUUUUGAUAUGUGUAUGCAAUUAACAUUGUGUAAUAUUGGAUUUAUAUAUUAGGAUUUUGAUAUAUGUUGGAAUUAUCAUUUUAGAUGAUUUGCACAUUUUAAUAUCUAAAUUCUUAAUGGAAUAUGUGUUUUAUC